rnacentral:rRNA from 1 species
UCGCCUGUUUAUCAAAAACAUAGCCUUAAGUUUGAUUUUAGGUUUAGUCUGCCCAGUGUGUAUCAUCAACGGCCGCAGUACCUUGACUGUGCUAAGGUAGCAUAAUCAGUUGACUUUUAAUUGGAGUCUGGAAUGAACGGAUAAAUGGGGACAAGCUGUCUCCUCUGGGUUUUAUUGAACUUACUUUUGAGGUGAAAAAGCCUUAAUUUAUUAAAAAGACGAGAAGACCCCAGGACCUUGGAUAUAUUUUGUUGGGGCGACAAGGGAAGAAUUUAGUAUCUUCCUAUGAAAAAUUUUUCUACAUGACGAGAAUUAAGAAAGAUUAAGGUACCCUGGGGAUAACAGCAUAAUUUAUUAUUUAAGAUUGUGACCUCGAUGUUGGACUAGGAAUCUGAAUAGGUGAGCAACCCUUUCAAUGGUUCUGUUCGAACUUUAUAUCCUACGUGAUCUGAGUUCAGACCGGA